rnacentral:lncRNA from 1 species
AUGGGGGCCCCUGCGGUGGGCAGAAUAACGGCCACUGCAAAGAUGCCAAAUCUUAUCCCCAGAGCUUCCGCAGAGAUCCUGCAGAUGUGAUUCGAGUCUUCCAGCAACACCACCUCACUCUGCUUUGCACAAUCACUCCACCUCCCCACAUGUUGCGGAGAUUCUCCUGGCUGUGACACGGGAAACAUCCUCCACCAGGUCUUCUCUCACAGUGUGGCCUCUGCGCACAGGUUAUCCACCUGUAGACCUGGACGGGACCCUCGAGGCUCCCUACUCUGACCAUCUGGUUUUAUAGUUGAGGAACCAGAAGCCGAGGCAGGUAACUUGGUGCAGCCUAAAGGCCUCCAUCCCUCCAGUGCCCACAACUUAGGUGCCCACGACAACAACACUGGCCUACCGCAAAGACCCAGCCCAGAGGAACAAGGUGCCACUGUAUGUCUGAAAAGGGGGCCCUCGGCCUCACUGGGGAGCACCUUCCUCCAUCAGGGUCUCGACGGUGAAGAAGCAGGCUGUUUCCAUCUUCAGGA